rnacentral:tRNA from 1 species
GUCCCGCUAGCUCAGCGGUAGAGCAUCUGUACGACAUGCAGAAGGUCCGAGGUUCGAUACCUCGGCGGGACA